rnacentral:lncRNA from 1 species
UUCGCUUCCGAGUUUUUUAUUUUAUUUUCAUUUUCUUUGAGGAUAAACAGAGAUGCACGGUAACUUUUGGCAUCAGGAUUUUUGAGAUACGGUAAUUAAUUCAACGGGCUGAGACUCUGUCGUCAAUUGAGUUCCGAGACAUUUAUUUUGUCACUUGGGUUGGAGUAUGUUUGAGACAUUAAGCUGGUUCGGUUCAAAUCGGGACAAGAUUCCAUGCGGCGGAAUUUCUGUUUUAAUCAGUCUAUUUUUCUGUUCUUCUGCUAUCUGCCAGUUAUUUUUGAAGCCAAAGCAGUAGAAAUUCUGAUUCAGAUUCGGGUUUUGAUUGUUGUUUGAUUGAGGUUUAUGGGCUGAAUUGGUUUAUGGUUGGG